GGUUAACGUUGGCGGUGUGCAUAACACAUGCAAGUCGUGCGUCGAACUAAAGAAAUUUUACCUUAUGGUGAGAUUUCCUUAGGGAAAGCGGCGGACGGGUGAGUAACACUUGGGUAAUCUACCCUCUGGACAGGGAUAAUCCAUCGAAAGGUGGUCUAAUACCUGAUAUUCUCAUUUGCCAGAUGGUGAAUGAGAAAAAUUUCUCGCAAGGGAAAUGCCAGAGGAUGGGCCUGAGUCCUAUCAGGUAGUUGGCGGGGUAAAAGCCCACCAAGCCAAAGACGGGUAGCUGGUCUGAGAGGACGGCCAGCCACACGGGGAUUGAGACACGGCCCCGACUCCUACGGGAGGCAGCAGUGGGGAAUCUUGGGCAAUGCCCGAAAGGGUGACCCAGCGACACCGCGUGGGGGAUGAAAGCCUUCGGGUUGUAAACCCCUGUCAGGAGGGAAGAAUCCGCCUAUGGCGGAUGACGGUACCUCCAGAGGAAGUCCCGGCUAACUCCGUGCCAGCAGCCGCGGUAAUACGGAGGGGACAAACGUUACCCGGAUUUACUGGGUGUAAAGGGUCCGCAGGCGGUCAGGAGCGUCAACUCUGAAAUCCUUUGGCUCAACCAAAGAAUUGGAGUUGAGACAUUCUGACUUUGAGUCUGGGGGAGAGAAACGGAACUGCCGGUGUAGCGGUGAAAUGUGUAGAUAUCGGCAGGAACACCACUGGCGAAGGCAGUUUCUUAUCCCAGAACUGACGCUCAGGGACGAAAGCGUGGGGAGCGAACGGGAUUAGAUACCCCGGUAGUCCACGCCGUAAACGAUGCUUACUAGAUUGUGGCGGUUCUGACGCCGGCACAGUCGAAGCAAAAGUGUUAAGUAAGCCGCCUGGGGAGUACGGUCGCAAGGCUAAAACUCAAAGGAAUUGACGGGGGCUCACACAAGCGGUGGAGCAUGUGGAUUAAUUCGAAGCAACGCGCAGAACCUUACCUAGGUUUGACAUGCUUGGAUGCUUGCCUGGAAACAGGUUAAGCUGCUCUUCGGAGUGAAACUUGCACAGGUGCUGCAUGGCUGUCGUCAGCUCGUGUCGUGAGAUGUCGGGUUAAGUCCCUUAACGAGCGAAACCCUUGCCGUUAGUUACCAGCGGGUCAUGCCGGGAACUCUAGCGGGACUGCCGGUGUUAAACCGGAGGAAGGUGGGGAUGACGUCAAGUCAUCAUGGCCUUUAUGCCUAGGGCAUCACACGUGCUACAAUGGCCGGUACAAAGCGACGCGAGACCGCGAGGUGGAGCGAAUCCCAAAAAGCCGGCCCCAGUUCGGAUUGCAGGCUGGCAACUCGCCUGCAUGAAGUUGGAAUCGCUAGUAAUCGCGAAUCAGCUAUGUCGCGGUGAAUGUGUUCCUGAGCCUUGUACACACCGCCCGUCAAGUGAUGGGAGUUGGAAGUACCCGAAGUCGGGUUGUUAACCGCAAGGAGACGCCUGCCGACGGUAAGUCCGACGACUGGCACUAAGUCGUAACAAGGUAGCCGUA
rnacentral:rRNA from 1 species